AAAAGCAUCUAUAUCACCCUGCAACUCACAACUGGCAGCCCACUGAAGCUAAGCAGGUGUGAGCCUGGUCAGUACCUGGAUGGGAGACCUCCUGGGAAAAAACUAAGGUUGCUGCUGGAA
rnacentral:rRNA from 1 species